rnacentral:rRNA from 1 species
AUUGAACGCUGGCGGCAUGCCUUACACAUGCAAGUCGAACGGUAACAGGUUAAGCUGACGAGUGGCGAACGGGUGAGUCAUGUAUCGGAACGUGCCCAGUCGUGGGGGAUAACUGCUCGAAAGAGCAGCUAAUACCGCAUACGACCUGAGGGUGAAAGCGGGGGAUCGCAAGACCUCGCGCGAUUGGAGCGGCCGAUAUCAGAUUAGGUAGUUGGUGAGGUAAAGGCUCACCAAGCCGACGAUCUGUAGCUGGUCUGAGAGGACGACCAGCCACACUGGGACUGAGACACGGCCCAGACUCCUACGGGAGGCAGCAGUGGGGAAUUUUGGACAAUGGGCGCAAGCCUGAUCCAGCCAUGCCGCGUGCGGGAAGAAGGCCUUCGGGUUGUAAACCGCUUUUGUCAGGGAAGAAAAGGUUCUGGCUAAUACCUGGGACUCAUGACGGUACCUGAAGAAUAAGCACCGGCUAACUACGUG